AAGUCUCAGUCGGUAGAGCAAAGGACUGAAAAUCCUUGUGUCCCUGGUUCGAAUCCAGGU
rnacentral:tRNA from 1 species